ACUGCGAGUGAGAGGGAAGAGCUCAAAUUUAAAAUCUGGUUGUUCUUGCAGCGGCCCGAGUUGUAGUUUAGAGAAGUGCUAUCCGCGCCAGCCCGUGCAUAAGUUUCUUGGAAAAGAACAUCAUAGAGGGUGACAAUCCCGUCUUUGGCACGGACUACUGGGGCUUUUGUGAUGUGCUCUCGACGAGUCGCGUUGUUUGGGAAUGCAGCGCUAAAUGGGUGGUAAAUUCCAUCUAAAGCUAAAUAUUGGCGAGAGACCGAUAGUGAACAAGUACCGUGAGGGAAAGAUGAAAAGAACUUUGAAAAGAGAGUUAAACAGUAUGUGAAAUUGUUGAAAGGGAAACGCUUGAAGUCAGUCGUGUCUUCUGGAGAUCAAGUUGCCUUUGGGUGACUGUACUUUCUGGUUGACGGGUCAGCAUCAAUUUUGACCGUUGGAAAAGGGCCUUGGUAAUGUGGCAUCCUUUUUGGAUGUGUUAUAGACCUUGGUCACAUACGAUGGUUGGGAUUGAGGAACUCAGUGUGCCUUCAUGGUUGGGGCCUUAUCGCUCACACCCGCACGCUUAGGAUGCUGGCAUAAUGGCUUCAAUCGACCCGUCUU
rnacentral:rRNA from 1 species